UACGUAGGGUGCGAGCGUUGUCCGGAAUUAUUGGGCGUAAAGAGCUUGUAGGCGGUCUGUCGCGUCUGCUGUGAAAAUCCGGGCUCAACCCCGGACUUGCAGUGGGUACGGGCAGACUAGAGUGUGGUAGGGGAGACUGGAAUUCCUGGUGUAGCGGUGAAAUGCGCAGAUAUCAGGAGGAACACCGAUGGCGAAGGCAGGUCUCUGGGCCACUACUGACGUGAGAAGCGAAAGCAUGGGGAGCGAACAGG
rnacentral:rRNA from 1 species